rnacentral:rRNA from 1 species
UACGGAGGGUGCGAGCGUUGUCCGGAAUCACUGGGCGUAAAGGGUGUGUAGGUGGCAUGGUAAGUUUGAUGUGAAAGCUCAGGGCUCAACCCUGAAAUGGCAUUGAAUACUACUGUGCUGGAGGUUUGGAGGGGGGACUGGAAUUCUUGGUGUAGCAGUGAAAUGCGUAGAUAUCAAGAGGAACACCAGUGGCGAAGGCGAGUCCCUGGACAACACCUGACACUGAGGCACGAAAGCUAGGGGAGCAAACAGG